rnacentral:rRNA from 1 species
UGGGGGAUUUUGCACAAUGGGCACAAGCCUGAUGCAGCGACGCCGCGUGAGGGAUGACGGCCUUCGGGUUGUAAACCUCUUUCGCUAGGUUGGAAGACGCUUUUUGGAGUUGUUGACUUUAACUGGUAAAGAAGUACCGGCUAACUACGUGCCAGCAGCCGCGGUAAUACGUAGGGUACUAGCGUUGUCCGGAAUUAUUGGGCGUAAAGGGCUUGUAGGUGGUUUGUCGCGUCUGUCGUGAAAACCCGGGGCUUAACUCCGGGCUUGCGGUGGGUACGGGCAGGCUUGAGUGCGGUAGGGGAGACUGGAAUUCCUGGUGUAGCGGUGGAAUGCGCAGAUAUCAGGAGGAAUACCGGUGGCGAAGGCGGGUCUCUGGGCCGUUACUGACACUGAGGAGCGAAAGCGUGGGGAGCGAACAG